rnacentral:sRNA from 1 species
GGUGCGAGCCAGACGAGGCCUUUUUCGCCGUCCAGUUCCUUGACGCGGUUGUAGGUCUCCUCCGGCGAAAGCCGUUCCGUCAC